AUUGAACGCUGGCGGCAGGCCUAACACAUGCAAGUCGAGCGGUAGAGAGGUGCUUGCACCUCUUGAGAGCGGCGGACGGGUGAAUAAUGCCUAGGAAUCUGCCUGGUAGUGGGGGAUAACGUCCGGAAACGGACGCUAAUACCGCAUACGUCCUACGGGAGAAAGCAGGGGACCUUCGGGCCUUGCGCUAUCAGAUGAGCCUAGGUCGGAUUAGCUAGUUGGUGAGGUAAUGGCUCACCAAGGCGACGAUCCGUAACUGGUCUGAGAGGAUGAUCAGUCACACUGGAACUGAGACACGGUCCAGACUCCUACGGGAGGCAGCAGUGGGGAAUAUUGGACAAUGGGCGAAAGCCUGAUCCAGCCAUGCCGCGUGUGUGAAGAAGGUCUUCGGAUUGUAAAGCACUUUAAGUUGGGAGGAAGGGUUGUAGAUUAAUACUCUGCAAUUUCGACGUUACCGACAGAAUAAGCACCGGCUAACUCUGUGCCAGCAGCCGCAGUAA
rnacentral:rRNA from 1 species